GAAAAUUAAGGAAGUUUUUCAAAGAACCCUAUUCCGAGUAAGAAGUGUGUUGCAUGAAUUUCUAAGAAUGUAUUUCUCACAAGUCUGGAGAUGGGAAAUCAAAGACCAAAGUACCAGCAGAAUGGUUGUCUAGUGAGGGCCCUCUUCCUCCUAGAUGACAGUCUUUGCACUGUGUCCUCAAGGGUAGAAGGAAUGAGCCAGCUCUCUGGGGUCUCUUUUAUAAAAGUGCUAAUCCCAGUCAAGAGGGCUCUGCCAGGGGCCCUGCCUCCC
rnacentral:lncRNA from 1 species